rnacentral:rRNA from 1 species
AUGGGGUGUUGGUGGAAAGCGUUAUGUAGUGGUUAUAGAUGGGCUCACGGCCUAUCAGCUUGUUGGUGAGGUAACGGCUCACCAAGGCGACGACGGGUAGCCGGCCUGAGAGGGUGACCGGCCACACUGGGACUGAGACACGGCCCAGACUCCUACGGGAGGCAGCAGUGGGGAAUAUUGCACAAUGGGCGCAAGCCUGAUGCAGCGACGCCGCGUGAGGGAUGACGGCCUUCGGGUUGUAAACCUCUGUUAGCAGGGAAGAAGAGAGAUUGACGGUACCUGCAGAGAAAGCGCCGGCUAACUACGUGCCAGCAGCCGCGGUAAUACGUAGGGCGCGAGCGUUGUCCGGAAUUAUUGGGCGUAAAGAGCUUGUAGGCGGUUUGUCGCGUCUGCUGUGAAAGGCCGGGGCUUAACCCCGUGUAUUGCAGUGGGUACGGGCAGACUAGAGUGCAGUAGGGGAGACUGGAACUCCUGGUGUAGCGGUGGAAUGCGCAGAUAUCAGGAAGAACACCGAUGGCGAAGGCAGGUCUCUGGGCUGUAACUGACGCUGAGAAGCGAAAGCAUGGGGAGCGAACAGGAUUAGAUACCCUGGUAGUCCAUGCCGUAAACGUUGGGCACUAGGUGUGGGGGACAUUCCACGUUUUCCGCGCCGUAGCUAACGCAUUAAGUGCCCCGCCUGGGGAGUACGGCCGCAAGGCUAAAACUCAAAGAAAUUGACGGGGGCCCGCACAAGCGGCGGAGCAUGCGGAUUAAUUCGAUGCAACGCGAAGAACCUUACCAAGGCUUGACAUAUACUGGACCGCAUCAGAGAUGGUGUUUCCCUUCGGGGCUGGUAUACAGGUGGUGCAUGGUUGUCGUCAGCUCGUGUCGUGAGAUGUUGGGUUAAGUCCCGCAACGAGCGCAACCCUCGUUCUAUGUUGCCAGCACGUUAUGGUGGGGACUCAUAGGAGACUGCCGGGGUCAACUCGGAGGAAGGUGGGGAUGACGUCAAAUCAUCAUGCCCCUUAUGUCUUGGGCUUCACGCAUGCUACAAUGGCCGGUACAGAGGGUUGCGAUACUGUGAGGUGGAGCUAAUCCCUAAAAGCCGGUCUCAGUUCGGAUUGGGGUCU